rnacentral:rRNA from 1 species
UGCGUAGGCGGCGUCAUAAGUCAGGGGUGAAAGCCCACAGCUCAACUGUGGAAUUGCCUUUGAUACUGUGGUGCUUGAAUCAGGUUGAGGUAGGCGGAAUGUGGCAUGUAGCGGUGAAAUGCUUAGAUAUGCCAUAGAACACCGAUUGCGAAGGCAGCUUACUGGACCUGCAUUGACGCUGAGGCACGAAAGCGUGUGGAGCGAACAGGAUUAGAUACCCUGGUAGUCC